rnacentral:lncRNA from 1 species
CUCCACGUGUUUGUGUUUUUUGCAGUUUUUUUCUUGUUGUUGAUUUCCAGUCAUAUAGCGUUGUGGUCGGAAAAGAUGCUUGAUAUGAUUUCAAUUUUCUUAAAGUUACUGAGGUUGGAUUUGUAGCCCAGGAUAUGAUCAAUCUUAGAGAAUGUUCCAUGUGCACUUGAGAAGAAUGUGUAUUCUGUUGCUUUUGGAUGAAAUGUCCUAUAAAUAUCUAUUAAGUCCAUCUGGUUUAAUGCUUCAUUCAGGGCCUGUGUUUCCUUAUUGAUUUUCUGUCUGGUUGAUCUGUCCAUUGCUGUAAGUGGGGUGUUAAAGUCCCCCACUAUGAUUGUGUUAUUGUCGAUUUCUCCUUUUAAGGUUGUUAGCAGUUGCCUUAUAUAUUGUGGUGAACCUGUGUUGGGUGCGUAGAUAUUUAAAAUUGUUAUAUCAUCUUCUUGGAUUGAUCCUUUGAUCAUUAUGUAAUGUCCUUCUUUGUCCCUUAAAAUAUUCUUCAUUUUAAAGUCUAUUUUGUCUGAUAUGAGUAUUGCUACUCCAGCUUUCUUUUGAUCCCCGUUUGCAUGAAAUAUUUUCUUCCAUCCUCUCACUUUCAAUUUGUAUGUGUCCCUAGAAGUGAAGUGGGUCUCUUGAAGACAGCAUAUAUAUGGGUCUUGUUUUUGUAUCCAUUCAGCCAGUCUAUGUCUUUUGGUUGGGGCAUUUAGUCCAUUCACAUUUAAGGUAAUUAUUGAUAUGUAUGUUCUUAUUGCCAUUUUAUUAAUUGCUUUGGAUUUGUUUUUGCUGCUCUUUUUUCUUUCCUUCUUCUCUUGUUCUUUUCUGCCUAUAGAAGUUCCUUUAGUAUUUGUUGUAAGGCUGGUUUAGUGUUGCUGAAUUCUCUCAGCUUUUGCUUAUCUGUGAAGGUUUUGAUUUCUCCUUCAAAUCUGAAUGAGAGCCUUGCUGGGUAGAUGAUCCAUUGGUUGUUUAGUAGCAUGUUGUUGAGUCUCCACGUGUUUGUGUUUUUUGCAGUUUUUUUCUUGUUGUUGAUUUCCAGUCAUAUAGCAUUGUGGUCGGAAAAGAUGCUUGAUAUGAUUUCAAUUUUCUUAAAGUUACUGAGGUUGGAUUUGUAGCCCAGGAUAUGAUCAAUCUUAGAGAAUGUUCCAUGUGCACUUGAGAAGAAUGUGUAUUCUGUUGCUUUUGGAUGGAAUGUCCUAUAAAUAUCUAUUAAGUCCAUCUGGUUUAAUGCUUCAUUCAGGGCCUGUGUUUCCUUAUUGAUUUUCUGUCUGGUUGAUCUGUCCAUUGCUGUAAGUGGGGUGUUAAAGUCCCCCACUAUGAUUGUGUUAUUGUCGAUUUCUCCUUUUAAGGUUGUUAGCAGUUGCCUUAUAUAUUGUG